AUAGAAAAAGAGUAACAACAACAAUACCGGGGCUGAUUUUCUUGCUGCGGGUACCAACACGGUCGGAUUGCUCGGCUAUCUUUAGGGACAGCAGCUUCCAAUGCUUCAACUUCUCAGGUAGUCCCUUCUAAAGCCCUUAGUACGGUAUUUGACCUGAGCUCUGCAACUGCAUUACCAAAAAGUUGAUGGUGCGUUGAUGCCUUACCUUGAUAUCUUCCAAAUCCAACGAACUUACGCCGCUGGAUUCGCUACCAACUGGUGACAGCGGGUUCUUGAUGCUGCUGCGAAAGUCGAUGCUCACGGGAGAAAUCGGCGAAAGCAGUCCGAAUCCUCCAGGAGGUCACCUACGCCCGACAUCGGCACAGCAAUGUUGAGAGCCAUCUGUAUGAAGAGGGAAGAAGAAAAAUAGAGGAAAUAUAAGAGGAGUUGUGACUCACAACCGAUGAAAUCUGCGCUUCAAAAUUAGUGAUGGAAAAAUUGAAGUUUUCGUCAGAAUCGAUUCUGAGAAAUUGACUUUGGAAUCGGAAUCUGCUGCAUAAUUGACUCCCAAAUAGGCUCCGGAAUCAGAAUCUGUCCCGGAAUCGAAAUGGUUUCCGGAAUUGAAAUCGGAUCCAGAAUCGGAAUUGGCUCCGAAAUUUGAAUAGGCUUCAACAUCGGAGUCGGUUUCGGCAUCUUCAUAAGAAUAGGCGUUUGGGUCCACUGAUGAUACGUAUUGAUAACAGCAAAGACUCCAAAUUUACUUGAAAACGAUCUGUUCUCAUGGAGAUUCCGGAGCAUAUUAUGAUUCCCUGGUCGAUUCCGAUUACAGAUCCGAUUCCGUAAUCAAUUCCGGAUUCAGAGUCGACUCCGGAAUCGGCUACGGAAUUGAUUUCGGAGACGGAAUCGGAAUCGGGUAGAUCCGAUUAUGAUCUCC